rnacentral:rRNA from 1 species
AGAGUUUGAUCCUGGCUCAGGAUGAACGCUAGCUACAGGCUUAACACAUGCAAGUCGAGGGGCAGCGUGGGGUAGCAAUACUCCGACGGCGACCGGCGAAUGGGUGAGUAACACGUAUCCAACCUACCUCUGGCUCAGGGAUAGCCCUUAGAAAUGAGGAUUAAUACCUGAUGGUGUCGCAUGAUCGCAUGAGAGCGCGACUAAAGAUUCAUCGGCGAGGGAUGGGGAUGCGUCUGAUUAGUUAGUUGGCGGGGUAACGGCCCACCAAGACGACGAUCAGUAGGGGUUCUGAGAGGAAGGUCCCCCACAUUGGUACUGAGACACGGACCAAACUCCUACGGGAGGCAGCAGUGAGGAAUAUUGGUCAAUGGGCGCAAGCCUGAACCAGCCAAGUAGCGUGAAGGAUGACGGCCCUAUGGGUUGUAAACUUCUUUUGUCGGGGGAUAAAGCGGGCCACGUGUGGCCCUUUGCAGGUACCCGAUGAAUAAGGACCGGCUAAUUCCGUGCCAGCCGCCGCGGUAAUACGGAAGGCCCGAGCGUUAUCCGGAUUUAUUGGGUUUAAAGGGAGCGUAGGUGGAACGGUAAGUCAGCCGUCAAAUCGCGGAGCUCAACUCCGUCCAGCGGUUGAUACUGUCAUUCUUGAGUGCACAAGAGGCAGGUGGAAUUCGAGGUGUAGCGGUGAAAUGCUUAGAUAUCCCGAAGAACUCCCAUUGCGAAGGCAGCUUGCUGGGGUGCAACUGACACUGAGGCUCCAAGGUACCGUUACCAACCGGAUUACAUACCCCUGUUAGUCCGACAGUAAACCACGGAUGCCCCCCGAAGGCC